CCUACGGGUGGCAGCAGUAGGGAAUCUUCCACAAUGGACGAAAGUCUGAUGGAGCAACGCCGCGUGUGUGAAGAAGGGUUUCGGCUCGUAAAACACUGUCGUAAGAGAAGAAUGACAUUGAGAGUAACUGUUCAGUGUGUGACGGCAUCUUACCAGCAUGGAACGGCUAAAUACGUGCCAGCAGCCGCGGUAAUACGUAUGUUCGAAGCGUUAUCCGGAUUUAGUGGGAGUAAAGCGCGCGCAGACGGUUGUUUAAGUCAGAAGUGAAAGCCCACAGCUUAACUUGGGAACUGCUUUGGAAACUGGAUAACUUGAGUGCAGGAGAGGAGAGUGGAACUCCAUGUGUAGCGGUGAAAUGCGUAGAUAUAUGGAAGAACACCAGUGGCGAAGGCGGCUCUCUGGACUGUAACUGACGUUGAGGCUCGAAAUCGUGGGGAGCAAACAGGAUUAGAUACCCCUGUAGUC
rnacentral:rRNA from 1 species